rnacentral:rRNA from 1 species
CAGUUCGGAUUGUAGUCUGCAACUCGACUACAUGAAGCUGGAAUCGCUAGUAAUCGCGGAUCAGAAUGCCGCGGUGAAUACGUUCCCGGGUCUUGUACACACCGCCCGUCACACCAUGGGAGUCGAUAACGCCCGAAGUCAGUGACCCAACCUGUAAGGAGGGAGCUGCCGAAGGCGGGAUUGAUAACUGGGGUGAAGUCGUAACAAGGUAAC